CCCUUAGAUGUUCUGGGCCGCACGCGCGCUACACUGAUGCAUUCAACGAGCCUAUCCUUGACCGACAGGUCCGGGUAAUCUUUGAAUCUGCAUCGUGACGGGGAUAGAUUAUUGCAAUUAUUAAUCUUCAACGAGGAAUGCCUAGUAGGCGCAAGUCAUCAGCUUGCGUCGAUUACGUCCCUGCCCUUUGUACACACCGCCCGUCGCUCCUACCGAUUGGGUGAGCUGGUGAAAUGUUCGGAUCGGCCGUUUGUCGCGGUUUCCGCGGCUCGUGGCUGAGAAGUUCAUUAAACCCUCCCACCUAGAGGAAGGAGAAGUCGUAACA
rnacentral:rRNA from 1 species